rnacentral:lncRNA from 1 species
GAGGGAGGGGGCUAGGAUUAGAUUUGAAAAAAGCAUCAACUAAGAGCUAAACGACGAGCAGAAAGAAGAAAAUGUAAAAAAAAAAUGAAUUUGCGUAUAUAUCAGAAUGGCGGUAUAUGUCGAACACGAUAUAAGGCGCUUCAAAACUUUCAGAGUCAAUGGAAGCUUAUGGAGACACCCGAGAGAAGAAAUCAAUCAGACAAUAG